UUGAUAAAUAUUAGAAAUAAUAUAUCAAAUUAAAUGUUUUUCAGCCUUGUCAGUCACAAACUCUCUGAUUUCUGUUCUUUCAUAACAUUUUCUUUUUUUCUUGGAGUCUCAGAAUUUAUAUGUGUUCUAUGAAGGUCCACACUAGUGUUAGAUAAAUAGGGAGAGAGAAGUAGGCAGAUCCUUCUAGUCCACAUAAAGGUUCUAUCCUGAGGUUGAAUUAACAAAUGCAAAGUGACUGACACAUAAUUGAUGCUUGAAUGUAUAGAUUGCCUUCUCUCUAUGUUUAUGAGGGUAGAUGGCAAAACUUGGUUCUUUGUGAUUGUUUCUUUUCUUGGAAAAAGAUCUAAUGCCAAACUAAGUAGGCAGAAUAAUAGCUACCCCAAAAAUGUCCUUAUCUUAAUACUUAGAACUUAUGAAUAUGUAAGAUUACAUGGCAAAGGGAAAUUAGGAAGCAGAUACAAUUAAGUUGCUAAUUAGAUGACUUAAAACAGAGUGGUUACCCUGGAUCAUCCAUGUGAGCUCAACAUAAUCAUAAAGGUUCUUCAGCAUGGAAGAGGGAGGCAGAAGGGGAUUAGAGAAAGAAAUAUGGCAACAGAAGUACGGUCACAGAGAAGUAAUGUUGCUGCUUUUGAAGGUAGAAGAAUGGAGCCAUGAGCCAAGGGAUGUGGGUGGCUUUUAGAGAAAUUUAAAAAGGAAGAAAAUAGACUUAACCCUAGAACAUCUAGAAGGAAUGGAGCCCUGCAAAUAUUCUAGUUCACUGAGACCUGUGUCAGAUUUCUGAUUGACAGAACUUUAUGAUAAAAAAAUUUGUGUUGCCACUUAGUCAGCAGUCAUUUGUUACAGCAGUAAUAUAAAAUUAAUAUACAAUGUUUGAAGGAAAAAAAUUGGAAUUUCUGAUGGACAGGAGUUUCAAGUUUUGAUUAUAGAGCAUUGUACCAGUAAUUAAACACAAUUGCCUAUAAAGUAAGGAAAUGGAUUUCUUGAGACCAUGAAUGUUCAUAGCACAUAAAUCCUAACAGCUUAUAUGUUUCUCAUUCUUUAUAUUUUUGUCAGCAGUCUGCAGGGAAAGUCAAAGUACCUUUAACAGUCAUGAGAAUGUUAAGGGCCUGGCAUGGUCUUGCUCUCCCUGUGUGUAAGGGUAGAUUUAAUGCUGGUGAGAAAGAGAUGUUAGGGAAGCAGUUCUGUAAGAUGCUGCACAUUUGUUAAUCAUUUCACCAUGACAAUGACAAGAACCAUGAUGACCAUUAAUUGUUUAGCAUAUUUCACGGGCUGUAUAUUAUUAGAUUUCACCAUUACAAGAGAAAAAUUAUAUGAAAGAGACAUUAUUUGUUGUUGUUCAGUUGCUAAGUUGACUCUUUGCAAUCUGACUCUUUGCAAUCCCAUGGACUGCAGCAUGCCAAGCUUCCCUGUCCUUCACUAACCCCCGGAGUUUGCUCAAAUUCAUGUCUGUUUAGUUGGUGAUGCCAUCCAACCAUUGCAUCCUCUGCCUCCCUCUUCUCCUUUUGCCUGUUUGUAAAAUAGGAAACUAAAAUACAGAGAAGCUAAGUGACUCACCCAAAGGUGCAGAACUCAUAAAUCAUGGGGCUUUUACCCGUAUUUAGGUCUUUGUGACCCAAGACUGUGCUUUGUAUACUGUUUUGUACUGUUUUCCUAACAAGCCACAUGUCUACUGUUCAUAUUGGAAUAAAGCAAUUGGAAUUGUGCUAAAAUUUGUAUCACACCAGAGGUUAUGAAAUCUGCCCCCCUGCCAUGAAACCAAUCCUGUACACAGAGCUAUUUAAUACAUUAGAUAUUCAACACUCACUAUUUCUAAUAGAUGUUGCAUGUCAAUCUGCUGCUUAUGGUACCGAAGAGCUAUUAUUUCACUACAAUGUCAUCACACAAAAUGUCAUUGUAUUUUCCCAGGCACAGUGCCGUGAUAUACACAGUAACACUAAACUCAGAGGUGAUUAGGACAUUAUCCCAGAACAAAAUGUGUCCCAGAAGAAACAAUGUGAUGUGGCUUAUCCUGGUGUGUUAUUUUCUCCAGAGCACUUGUCUCCUCCCCCUGAAAGCUCACAUAUUUUAAGCUUCACAAAUAACACUUUGAAGAGGACUGUGAAAUGAAAGGCCCACACCGUGAUGGAGGACUCUAGAGGGACUUCAAAGGGAGGCCAAGAAAGAAUAGGUUUGGGAGCCAUCAGGCUAGAAAUUCACCAUCUACUCUGUUUCAACUGUGUUUUGAGUCCACUGCUCCUCAUGACCUUAUGCUGUGCUGAAAACUGACAAGGGUGCUGAGCAUACCCACUUGCCAAAACUUGACUAGACUGCACCAGUUUUUUUUUUUUUGUUUGUUUUUGUUUUUCUUUUCAUCUCAUUCUAUGCACACUCACCUGGAAGGGAAGAUGGUGACUAAGGAACCAGCAGAUAAGAGAUUUGAAUCUUUUAUGAUUGAUCUAUAUAUUAUAUCCCCAAGAAGUUAGAGGUGAGAAAAGUCAUGCUUUUAUUAUGUUAAUCAUUUUAAUUAAAUAUACUCAGUGUACUCAAAAGCCAAGUGCCUCCUGUUACAAAGAAAAUGUUGUAUUUUUUCUUCUUUCUAGACCAUGCCACUUCCACACAUCCUGUGGAUAGCAUGAAUAACUGUUACCCUGACCUUGAGAAACUUAUCUAACUGGGGAGAAAAGGCCUCACAUGUGGCAAAAUCCAGAGGUAUUUAAGGUACCUACCACAGGAAGGUGGUACCUAACACCUAAGGAAGGCUUGGGUCUUUCCAGGUGGCUCAGUGGUAAAGAAUCUGCUUGCAGUGCAGUAAAUUCAAGUUUGAUCCCUGGGUUGGGAAGAUCCCCUGGGAAGGAAAUGGCAACCCACUUCAGUAUUCUUGCCUGGGAAAUCCCAUGGAGAGAGGAGCCUGGUAGACUAUAGUCCAUGGAGUCUCAAAAGAGUCGGAGACAGCUUAGCAACUAAACAACAACCACAGUGGCUUAACACACUAAAGAACUGAGAAUUAUGUGGGUAUAAAAGAGAAUCUAUUAUAUUAAUGUCAUGGCCAAAACAUGUCAUAUUUCCAAAGGAGGACAUAGCACUAUGAGUCAGAAUUACUUGGGAAUGUCAGAAGGCAGUGAGUGUAUAAGCUGAACUUUAAGGAAAUCAGCAGAGGUUGAAGGGGUAGAGAAGAAAAAUAGGGGCAUUCUAGAUGGCAAGGUUGCUACAUGCCUAUCCACAUGUACCCAGGUAGGUCUGGAUGAAGUUGAGGCUUUUUAAUGAGAGGAAUGAGAAAGGGGUGGGAAAGGCAGGUUAGGCAAGGCCUUGAGUGUUCUUGCAAAAUUCUACACGUAGUUUCACAGGCAACAGCUGCACUUGGCAAGUUGUGUUUUCCUUUAAGCAUGGGCUGAGGAGCACUGGUAGUGGUGGACAUGACAUUUUGAGGGACAGAGGGACAGAGGACAGGGAUGUCCAGCUGGGAAGGUCAUUUAAUUGACCCAAAAGUGAGAGAAAACAGCAUUAGAACAAAUAAGUGCCCACUGAAGGCUAAAUGCCUUCCAUACAAGAUCCCACUUUUAUCCUUUGGAGAUCCUGCACAAUGGAUGUGGCUCUCCUUACUUUAAAGAUGAAGAAACUGAAGCUUGGGCAAGUAUUUUAAUGUGCUUCAAGUCAAAAGACUACUAUUUUAGUAGAACUUUUCUUGGCUCUAAAUCUCUUGUUCUUUCCACUCUGUCAGGCUGCUAGGAACUCAUGAGCAAAAAGUGACUGCAUGUCCCAAUUCAACCCCCACACCACAAGUGCCAGUAACAGAGCUCACAUCCUCCUCACAGAUACACAAACAUGUUCCAAUCACCCACCUCCACUCUUCCCAAAAGGCUGGGAAAGGGAAUCAGAACAUGGAGGGUAAUAAAUACCCUCAGUAGGAAGAAGAGGAUUCUUCUUUUGUUUAUUAGCUGAAGUCAUCUCUUUACUGAAUUCCACCAUGGUGAUCUCAUGAUCUAACAUGCCUGUAAGCCUUUUUGGGUGCUCUGGGUAAGAUGUGUUUCUUUAUAUUUUCCUUUUGGAAUUUUGAAAGGCAGGCUGUAAUUAAAUUCCUUUUUUUCCCCACCUUGAUGUCACCUGUUCUGACAUGCAGAACCACAGAUAUUCAAAUCCUACAUACUAUAUAAUAGCACCCUCCCAGGAAUGAUGGCCAUAUCCUGGAAUGAUCUAUUUGAUGUCUCUCUCUCACACCCAACUGAGAGAUGUUUGAGACAAAGAUGAUUGCUUUAAAAAAAUAUGCUUUCCUAAGUUCUAGAUUUUGAUAUAACAUCUCAAUAUACUUAACUGAACUAUAGAUUAGAACUGUGACUACAUCCAUAGCACAAUAAACAGCUAGGCAUUUCAAAAAUAUUCUCAAGAAAAGAAAAUCAGUGGAUUCAGUUGUUUAUAAUGGUUAAACAAUCGGACACAUUUAGAUUAAUGUGGAUCAUUCCCUAUUGUGAAGGCUUAGUAUUUGUACAUGCUCAUCUUAUAAGUAAACACAGACAGGAAACCAACAUUUCUUACCAUAUAAUCUCAGUCCUAGGUAUUUUGUUAUAUUGAAUUAUCUUUGCAAUGAACCUGUUAUUUUUAGCAAAUAUACUAUUUGUAUAUUUUAUGUAUCAAUAUGUAUUUUGUGACAAACUAUAUAAAAAUAUAGAGCUAUCAUUCUUUAAUUAUUAAGUAAUUUUUGUUUCUCCUCUGGUGGUAUUUUAAAACUUUGUUUCAAUUCAUCACGUUGCUUCACAAAAACAAAUGAGACAGCAAGUGACUUGAGUUUUAGUUUCUCUCUACCAUAUACUGACUGUGAUACUGAACAAGCCAUUUCUCCCCUUAUGAAUCAAGUUCUUCAUGUGUAAAGUGAGUUACUCUAAAUAAGUGUUACAGUUUGACCAACUCUCAAAUUUCCAGGCAAGGAAAAUUGGUAUGGUUAUAUCUGAGGGCCAGUGUGUAUCAACCUUGGAGGUUUCCAGAAGUCAUAAACCAGCCCGGCAGGUUUGACCUGAUUGAUAUCUUUCCUGGCCUAGAAUCUCAGCUUGGCUGCCUGCUUGGCAGCUCAAACUUCCUGGCAGCCCUUCUAAUGUUCAAGCAUUCUGCCUAGGUGGUCUUGGAAGAGUUGUAGAUAAUAACCAGGAGGAGAAGGGGAUGACAGAGGAUGAGAUGAUGGGAUAGCAUCACCGACUCAAUGGACAUGAGUUUGAGCAGUCUCUGGGAGUUGGUGAUGGAUAGGCAAGCCUGCAGUGCUGCAGUCCAUGGGGGUCACAAAGAGUCGGACAUGACUGAGUGACUGAACUGAACUGAACUGAAUUAGCCUUGAACAUUCUUACCUAAUAAAGGUUCUAGUAGGUUUAUAUCAAAGACUUAGUUUGGUUGUACACAGAUUCCUAUUUGUACCCUACUCCAG
ensembl:lncRNA